UCAAUACCAAUUAAAUAAUACAUUUUCAUAAAAUUUCAAUAGAGAAAAUAUGCUGUAAGAAAUUUUAAUAUUGUUUUCGAUUUUUAAUUUAUUCGUUUGCAUUCACAAAUGAAUUCCCUUAUUUCUAUUUUUUUAUUUUUUUAAUAUGAAACCAAAUGACUUCCCUUCUUUCUGUAAAAGUUUUAUUAACAGUCAACUUGAGUAAAUAAAAAACUACCCCAGUUUAACGACCCCCCAAAUGAUCCGUGCUCUUGCUGUAUUUUCCCCUUCUUUCUCUCUCAUUUUCCAUUGAAGCGCACCUAUCGUUCUCCAUUGAAGCAGUUUCUAAGGUAAAAUUUUAAUUUCUCUUUUUCAUUAUCCAGUUUCAAUUUCUCUAGGCUUUUAUAUAUCCUAAAUUUAAUUCACAUUACACACAAAUUGAGGGUUCUCCUAAGCUCCACGACAUCCUCCAUUUCUCGGCUUUCGAUUCAUCAUCCUCCAUCGUCGUCUACAAGUCCUGGAUUCAAUUUGUGCGAUUUAUAAGACACUUGUUUCAGUUGUAAGUAGUGCGAGUAAAAAGUAUUUUCUUGGGACUCGCAGUGCUCCUCAUGAGAGGUGGAAGAAAGAAUGUUGUGGAUAUGCUAGAAUCGUUGCUAAAAUUGCUAGAAUCGUUGCUAAAAUUGGGUGUUGCUGCUCUCUGUUGAACACACUGCUACUGAUUCUGCUUUGCUGAUUGUUGCUGCUCCAAUUUAGUGUACUCUAAUUAAUUAAUUAAUUAAUUAAUUAAUUAUUCUUUUUCAGUUUUUGUUUGGAUGAACAUUGUAAAUUUACAAGUUAUUAAUGAAAAUAUCUAAGUUUAAUGUGUA